UACGUAGGGUGCGAGCGUUGUCCGGAAUUACUGGGCGUAAAGAGCUCGUAGGCGGUUUGUCGCGUCUGUCGUGAAAGCCCACGGCUUAACCGCGGGUCUGCGGUGGAUACGGGCAGACUAGAGGCAGGUAGGGGAGAAUGGAAUUCCCGGUGUAGCGGUGAAAUGCGCAGAUAUCGGGAGGAACACCGGUGGCGAAGGCGGCCAUCUGGGACAACACUGACGCUGAAGCACGAAAGCGUGGGGAGCAAACAGG
rnacentral:rRNA from 1 species